CAAUAAGCGGAGGAAAAGAAACCAACAGGGAUUGCCUCAGUAACGGCGAGUGAAGCGGCAAAAGCUCAAAUUUGAAAUCUGGUACCUUUGGUGCCCGAGUUGUAAUUUGAAGAUAGUUUUCUGGUGCUGGCCCUUGUCUAUGUUCCUUGGAACAGGACGUCACAGAGGGUGAGAAUCCCGUCUGGCGGGGUGUCCAGUGCUUUGUAGAUUUCUAUCGACGAGUCGAGUUGUUUGGGAAUGCAGCUCUAAGUGGGUGGUAAAUUCCAUCUAAAGCUAAAUAUUGGCGAGAGACCGAUAGCGAACAAGUACAGUGAUGGAAAGAUGAAAAGAACUUUGAAAAGAGAGUGAAAAAGUACGUGAAAUUGUUGAAAGGGAAGGGUAUUAGAUCAGACUUGGUGUUUUGUGAUUAUCUUCCCUUCUUGGGUUGUGCACUCGCAUUUCACUGGGCCAGCAUCGGUUCGGGUGGUAAGAUAAUGACAUUGGAACGUGGCACUGCCUUCGGGUGGUGUGUUAUAGCCCUUGUUGAUGUUGCCUACCUGGACCGAGGACUGCGGCUUUUGCCUAGGAUGCUGGCGUAAUGAUCUAACACCGC
rnacentral:rRNA from 1 species